AUCGCUUCUCGGCCUUUUGGCUAAGAUCAAGUGUAGUAUCUGUUCUUAUCAGUUUAAUAUCUGAUAUGUCCUCUAUUUGCGGACUUUGGGGAUUGGGAGAUGGCGAAAGACAA
rnacentral:snRNA from 1 species